CGGAUGAACGCUAGCGGCAGGCCUAAUACAUGCAAGUCGUACGGCAACACAGUUGCGAGCAAUCGCAACCGGUGGCGAGUGGCGCACGGGUGAGUAACGCGUAUGUAACCUACCCUUCUCCGGGACAUAACUCCGCGAAAGCGGUGCUAAUAUCCCAUACCAACUCAUCAAGACAUCUUCUUGAGUUGAAAGCAGCAAUGCGGUGAAGGAUGGGCAUGCGUCCCAUUAGCUGGUUGGUGAGGUAAUGGCCCACCAAGGCUACGAUGGGUAGGGGUUCUGAGAGGAAAGCCCCCCACACUGGUACUGAGACACGGACCAGACUCCUACGGGAGGCAGCAGUAAGGAAUAUUGGGCAAUGGUCGAAAGACUGACCCAGCCAUGCCGCGUGCAGGAUGAAGGCCCUAUGGGUUGUAAACUGCUUUUAGCCGGGAAUAAACACCCGUUUUAUAACGGGCCCGAAGGUACCGGCUGAAUAAGCAUCGGCUAACUCCGUG
rnacentral:rRNA from 1 species